CAAUAGCGUAUAUUAAAGUUGUUGCAGUUAAAAAGCUCGUAGUUGGAUUUGUGGCGUACGGUGUGUUCCGGGCACUUGUUGUCUGAGUAACCUGCUGUUGCCAUCCUUGGGUGGAACCUGUGUGGCAUUAGGUUGUCGUGCAGGGGAUGCCCAUCAUUUACUGUGAAAAAAUUAGAGUGUUCAAAGCAGGCUUAUGCCGUUGAAUAUAUUAGCAUGGAAUAAUAAGAUAGGACUUCGGAACUAUUUUGUUGGUUUGCGUUACGAAGUAAUGAUUAAUAGGGACAGUUGGGGGUAUUCGUAUUUCGUUGUCAGAGGUGAAAUUCUUGGAUUUCCGAAAGACGAACUACUGCGAAAGCAUUUACCAAGGAUGUUUUCAUUAA
rnacentral:rRNA from 1 species